rnacentral:rRNA from 1 species
GAUGAACGCUGGCGGCGUGCCUAAUACAUGCAAGUCGAGCGAACAGACGAGGAGCUUGCUCCUCUGACGUUAGCGGCGGACGGGUGAGUAACACGUGUAUAACCUACCUAUAAGACUGGGAUAACUUCGGGAAACCGGAUCUAAUACCGGAUAAUAUAUUGAACCGCAUGGUUCAAUAGUGAAAGACGGUUUUGCUGUCACUUCUCGAUGGAUCCGCGCCGCAUUAGCUAGUUGGUAAGGUAACGGCUUACCAAGGCAACGAUGCGUAGCCGACCUGAGAGGGUGAUAGGCCACACUGGAACUGAGACACGGUCAAGACGCCUAAGGGAGGCAGCAGUAGGGAAUCUUCCGCAAUGGGCGAAAGCUUGACGGAGCAACGCCGCGUGAGUGAUGAAGGUCUUCGGAUCGUAAAACUCUGUUAUUAGGGAAGAACAAAUGUGUAAGUAACUAUGCACGUCUUGACGGUACCUAAUCAGAAAGCCACGGCUAACUACGUG